UGUAAUCUGAUUCAUUAUGAUAUAGGAUCAGGUCCCCCUCUCCAUGUAAUCUGAUUCAUUAUGAUCUAGGAUCAGGUCCCCCCUCUCCAUGUAAUCUGAUUCAUUAUGAUCUAGGAUCAGGUCCCUCCUCUCCAUGUAAUCUGAUUCAUUAUGAUCUAGGAUCAGGUCCCCCCUCUCCAUGUAAUCUGAUUCAUUAUGAUCUAGGAUCAGGUCCCUCCUCUCCAUGUAAUCUGAUUCAUUAUGAUCUAGGAUCAGGUCCCCCCUCUCCAUGUAAUCUGAUUCAUUAUGAUCUAGGAUCAGGUCCCCCCUCUCCAUGUAAUCUGAUUCAUUAUGAUCUAGGAUCAGGUCCCCCC
rnacentral:lncRNA from 1 species